AGAGUUUGAUCCUGGCUCAGAUUGAACGCUGGCGGCAUGCCUUACACAUGCAAGUCGAACGGCAGCACGGGAGCAAUCCUGGUGGCGAGUGGCGAACGGGUGAGUAAUAUAUCGGAACGUGCCCAGUCGUGGGGGAUAACGUAGAGAAAUUUACGCUAAUACCGCAUACGAUCUAAGGAUGAAAGCGGGGGACUCGCAAGGGCCUCGCGCGAUUGGAGCGGCUGAUAUCAGAUUAGGUUGUUGGUGAGGUAAAAGCUCACCAAGCCGACGAUCUGUAGCUGGUUUGAGAGAACGACCAGCCACACUGGGACUGAGACACGGCCCAGACUCCUACGGGAGGCAGCAGUGGGGAAUUUUGGACAAUGGGCGAAAGCCUGAUCCAGCAAUGUCGCGUGCAGGAAGAAGGCCUUCGG
rnacentral:rRNA from 1 species